UUUUUUACCUGACGUUCUCCA
ensembl:piRNA 21ur-13765 ncRNA